UAUUCAUUUACACCAAAUUUGG
rnacentral:miRNA from 1 species